rnacentral:sRNA from 1 species
UUCAGGAUAAGGAAACAACGACGCCAAUAAAUUAGAGAGAC